rnacentral:rRNA from 1 species
CAGUAGCCGCGGUAAUACGUAGGUGGCAAGCAUUGUCCGGAAUUAUUGGGCGUAAAGGGCUCGCAGGCGGUUUCUUAAGUCUGAUGUGAAAGCCCCCGGCUCAACCGGGGAGGGUCAUUGGAAACUGGGAAACUUGAGUGCAGAAGAGGAGAGUGGAAUUCCACGUGUAGCGGUGAAAUGCGUAGAGAUGUGGAGGAACACCAGUGGCGAAGGCGACUCUCUGGUCUGUAACUGACGCUGAGGAGCGAAAGCGUGGGGAGCGAACAGGAUUAGAUACCCCAGUAGUCCCUGUCUCUUAUAC